CCUACGGGUGGCAGCAGUAGGGAAUAUUGGUCAAUGGGGGUAACCCUGAACCAGCAACGCCGCGUGAAGGAAGAAGGUUUUCGGAUUGUAAAAUUCUUUUGAUAGAGAAGAUAAUGAAGGUAUGUAGUGAUUAAUGACUGGCCACCUUCGUGCCACCUGCCGCGGCAACAUGUAGGGUGCAAGCGUUAUUCGGAAUCAGUGGGCGUUAAGGGGGCGUAGGGGGGUUAGGAAGUCAGAGGUGAAAUUUUAUGGCUUAACCAUAGAACUGGUUUUGAAACUGUUACUCUAGAGUUUGAGAGAGGUAGGUGGAAUUCUUGGUGUAGGGGUAAAAUGCGUAGAUAUCAGGAAGAAUUCUGAUUGCGAAGGCGGCCUGCUAGGACAUAACUGACACUGAAGCACGAAAGCGUGGGGAGCAAACAGGAUUAGAUACCCGAGUAGUC
rnacentral:rRNA from 1 species